rnacentral:rRNA from 1 species
AUGAACGCUGGCGGCGUGCCUAAUACAUGCAAGUCGAGCGAACGGACGAGAAGCUUGCUUCUCUGAUGUUCGCGGCGGACGGGUGAGUAACACGUGGAUAACCUACCUAUAAGACUGGGAUAACUUCGGGAAACCGGAGCUAAUACCGGAUAAUAUUUUGAACCGCAUGGUUCAAAAGUGAAAGACGGUCUUGCUGUCACUUAUAGAUGGAUCCGCGCUGCAUUAGCUAGUUGGUAAGGUAACGGCUUACCAAGGCAACGAUGCAUAGCCGACCUGAGAGGGUGAUCGGCCACACUGGAACUGAGACACGGUCCAGACGCCUACGGGAGGCAGCAGUAGGGAAUCUUCCGCAAUGGGCGAAAGCCUGACGGAGCAACGCCGCGUGAGUGAUGAAGGUCUUCGGAUCGUAAAACUCUGUUAUUAGGGAAGAACAUAUGUGUAAGUAACUGUGCACAUCUUGACGGUACCUAAUCAGAAAGCCACGGCUAACUACGUG